UGGGAAUAUUGCACAAUGGGCGCAAGCCUGAUGCAGCCAUGCCGCGUGUAUGAAGAAGGCCUUCGGGUUGUAAAGUACUUUCAGCGAGGAGGAAGGCGUUGUGGUUAAUAACCGCAGCGAUUGACGUUACUCGCAGAAGAAGCACCGGCUAACUCCGUGCCAGCAGCCGCGGUAAUACGGAGGGUGCAAGCGUUAAUCGGAAUUACUGGGUGUAAAGCGCACGCAGGCGGUCUGUCAAGUCGGAUGUGAAAUCCCCGGGCUCAACCUGGGAACUGCAUCCGAAACUGGCAGGCUAGAGUCUUGUAGAGGGGGGUAGAAUUCCAGGUGUAGCGGUGAAAUGCGUAGAGAUCUGGAGGAAUACCGGUGGCGAAGGCGGCCCCCUGGACAAAGACUGACGCUCAGGUGCGAAAGCGUGGGGAGCAAACA
rnacentral:rRNA from 1 species